rnacentral:lncRNA from 1 species
GUGGAAAUUAACUUGUAAUAUGAGGUAUUUGAAAGUAAAAUGGUUUAAGAACACACUCUUAUGGGUUUUAUUUCCUUGUAGGUAUUAUUUUUUAUCCAGUCAAAAAUGUUGAAAUAUCACUUGUCACUGUACAAAUAACAGGAAGUAGUUCAAUAUAGUUUCUCCAUAUUUACUCUCUGUGGUUUUGAGCAAGACUUUUGAGAAGCUUUCAGAAGAUAUGCUGCAGAGAGUCGGUGAGGGCGGCUCAUUGUCUAUAACGAUGAACAUAAUAAUUGCUCUUCUGUGUAUUCUGACAAAUCAGGUCAUAAGCCAAGAUAUUUUUCCUGCAAAGAUCCUGGCCCAGCAGACAAUUAUAAGUGAAAACAGUGACCUUUAUGUAACAUGCAGCACACUUGAGAGAAAGAAAGACUCCAAGGUUUUUAUUUAUUUGUUAAAAAAUGGGCACGGAAUCCAGAAUCUCACCCAGAAGCAAGAUCGAAGUGACACCAAGUUCAGGAUACCCAGAGCUGGUCUUCAUCACAGUGGAAAUUACAGCUGUGUUUAUUCUCAGAAACCUUAUACACUUUCUGAAGUAGUCAAGAAAGGAGACAACAUCAUUGAGAUUCUGGUCAUAGCCAAUUUUCUCCCAGCAGAUAUUUCAAUAGUUGGGCCAUCCACUGUUCAUGAGGGAGACUAUGUUGAAUUCCAGUGCACAGUGUCUCAACACCUACAUACACUUGGUGGAUGUAAAUUUAUCUACGCUUACCUGAGGAAGAACGACACGAUUCUCCAAGUGCAAGUCUUUAAUGUGUCUCAGAAGCUGGCAACUUUCAUCAUCGAUAGUGCAGUUUUCAAGGAUUCAGGUCCUUACAGCUGCAUAGUGCUGCCAUCAAAAUGCUUCUAUGAGCACGAGUACACAGUUCAUGGAACAAACAAUUUAUUUCUUGAGGUCAAAGUGCAUUUAAUCUCUCUUGGUUUACUGCGUUAUGGAGUGAUAACCUUGAUGGUAUUACUGGUGGCGUUCCUUUGUGGAUCAAACAACAAACAAGCAAAUGCAGACAUGCUGGAGAAAUGACGGGAUGAGAGUGUGGGAAGAUCUAGAUCAGGAGUGUCAAACUGAUUUUAUGUUGUAGGCCACACAGCCCACUAGUUAAGUGGUGCAUCGGCGUAACGUUGUGCUGACCAUUAGGGGGGUCAAGAUGUCUGUCUAAAUAAAUCUGGGUAUAUUCCCAGAUGAUUAAACAUGCAACUAUUUUGCUGGUAAUACCUGAAAUGAGUAAAGAAAAUCAACAGCCUAUUUAUGCAAGCUAAUUCAUAAUUUUAUUGGGGUUGGGGGGGGGGUUAUAUUGAUUGAGUCUGGUUUUUUUUGUGGGGGGGUCAUAACCCCCUAACCCACCUGGAAAUUAUGCCCCUGAAGUGGUGAAGCUCCCCUUCCUUUCAUUGUAAAGAAAUUACAUAUUUAACUGUUUCUCUACGUGAUAAAGGAAAAGCUGCUGUGACAAAGAAAUAAAUAUAUCAGCACAACUCUUUAAAUUGUAAAAUAUAAAUAUGUAAAAUUACAGAAAAAGUUCUGGUAGCUCAUUGCUCAGAUUGUCAAGUUUUGGAUUUUUGUUGUUGUUGUUGUUUUUUUAAACUGUAAUCCUCAGAAAUACAAAUUUCUAUAGUAGAAGAUUUAUAAAAGAAACCUGUCUAUUUAUUGUUUAUUGCCUUAU